rnacentral:rRNA from 1 species
GACGAACCGAGCGAACGUUAUUCGGAAUCACUGGGCUUAAAGGGCGCGUAGGCGGGCGGCCAAGUCAGGGGUGAAAGCCCCCAGCUCAACUGGGGAAGUGCCUUUGAUACUGGUCAUCUCGAGGGAGAUAGGGGCGUGCGGAACUUCCGGUGGAGCGGUGAAAUGCGUAGAUAUCGGAAGGAACACCGGUGGCGAAAGCGGCGCGCUGGAUCUCUCCUGACGCUGAGGCGCGAAAGCCAGGGGAGCGAACGGG